rnacentral:rRNA from 1 species
AUUGAACGCUGGCGGCAUGCCUUACACAUGCAAGUCGAACGGUAACGGGCCUUCGGGUGCCGACGAGUGGCGAACGGGUGAGUAAUACAUCGGAACGUGCCCGAUCGUGGGGGAUAACGAGGCGAAAGCUUUGCUAAUACCGCAUACGAUCUACGGAUGAAAGCAGGGGACCGCAAGGCCUUGCGCGGACGGAGCGGCCGAUGGCAGAUUAGGUAGUUGGUGGGAUAAAAGCUUACCAAGCCGACGAUCUGUAGCUGGUCUGAGAGGAUGAUCAGCCACACUGGGACUGGGACACGGCCCAGACUCCUACGGGAGGCAGCAGUGGGGAAUUUUGGACAAUGGGCGCAAGCCUGAUCCAGCCAUGCCGCGUGCAGGAUGAAGGCCUUCGGGUUGUAAACUGCUUUUGUACGGAACGAAAAGCCUUCUUUUAAUACAGGAGGGUCAUGACGGUACCGUAAGAAUAAGCACCGGCUAACUACGU